ensembl:ncRNA K08A8.13 ncRNA
AAAGAGGACGAAAACGAUCUUUUUAGGAUCUAUUGGGCACCCGAAGGUCGAAACGAUCAAGGUGUGUGCGUUGCGUAGUGCGCGACCGCCGGGACGGCUUCUCGACUUCAGGCGUGACUCCUUGAUGCACGCACGACUGUAGA